GUGGGGAAUAUUGGGCAAUGGGGGAAACCCUGACCCAGCGACGCCGCGUGGGUGAAGAAAUCCUUCGGGAUGUAAAGCCCUGUUGUAUGGGAAGAGCGGAAGACGGUACCAUACGAGGAAGCCCCGGCAAACUACGUGCCAGCAGCCGCGGUAAUACGUAGGGGGCAAGCGUUGUCCGGAAUUACUGGGCGUAAAGCGCACGCAGGCUGAAUUAUAAGUCGGUAGUCAAAGGCGGAGGCUCAACCUCUGUAUAUCUAUCGAUACUGUAAAUCUGGAGUAUGUGAGAGGGAAGCGGAAUGCCCGGUGUAGCGGUGAAAUGCGUAGAUAUCGGGAGGAACACCAGUGGCGAAGGCGGCUUCCUGGCACAAUACUGACGCUCAUGUGCGAAAGCUAGGGCAGCGAACGGGAUUAGAAACCCUUGUAGUCC
rnacentral:rRNA from 1 species